rnacentral:rRNA from 1 species
GAUGAACGCUGGCGGCGUGCCUAAUACAUGCAAGUCGAGCGAACGGACGAGAAGCUUGCUUCUCUAAUGUUAGCGGCGGACGGGUGAGUAACACGUGGAUAACCUACCUAUAAGACUGGGAUAACUUCGGGAAACCGUAGCUAAUACCGGAUAAUAUUUUGAACCGCAUGGUUCAAAAGUGAAAGACGGUCUUGCUGUCACUUAUAGAUGGAUCCGCGCUGCAUUAGCUAGUUGGUAAGGUAACGGCUUACCAAGGCAACGAUGCAUAGCCGACCUGAGAGAGUGAUCGGCCACAUGGGAACUGAGACACGGUCCAGACUCCUACGGGAGGCAGCAGUAGGGAAUCUUCCGCAAGGGGCGAAAGCCUGACGGAGCAACGCCGCGUGAGUGAUGAAGGUCUUCGGAUCGUAAAACUCUGUUAUUAGGGAAGAACAUAUGUGUAAGUAACUGUGCACAUCUUGACGGUACCUAAUCAGAAAGCCACGGCUAACUACGUG